GACGAACGCUGGCGGCGUGCCUAAUGCAUGCAAGUAGAACGCAGUUGCGAACGGGUGAGUAACGCGUAGGUAACUGCCUCAUAGCGGGGGAUAACUAUUGGAAACGAUAGCUAAUACCGCAUACUGUUAUAUGUACCUUCGUUGUAUUAGCUAGUUGGGGAGGUAAAGGCUCAAAAAGGCGAAGAUAACUAGCCGACAUGAGCGGGGUAGCGGCCACACUGGGACUGAGACACGGCCCAGACUCCUACGGGAGGCAGCAGUAGGGAAUAUUCGGGAAUGGACGGAAGACUGACCGAGCAACGACGAGUGAGUGAAGAAGGUUUUCGGAUCGUAAAGCUCUGUUGUUAGAGAAGCGGUAACUAAACAGAAAGGGACGGCUAACUACGUGCCAGCAGCCGCGGUAAUUC
rnacentral:rRNA from 1 species